AAUCGUACCCCAAACCGACACAGGUGGUCAGGUAGAGAAUACCAAGGCGCUUGAGAGAACUCGGGUGAAGGAACUAGGCAAAAUGGUGCCGUAACUUCGGGAGAAGGCACGCUGGUGUGUAGGUGAAGUCCCUGCGGAUGGAGCUGAGACCAGUCGAAGAUACCAGCUGGCUGCAACUGUUUAUUAAAAACACAGCACUGUGCAAACACGAAAGUGGACGUAUACGGUGUGACGCCUGCCCGGUGCCGGAAGGUUAAUUGAUGGGGUUAUCCGUAAGGAGAAGCUCUUGAUCGAAGCCCCGGUAAACGGCGGCCGUAACUAUAACGGUCCUAAGGUAGCGAAAUUCCUUGUCGGGUAAGUUCCGACCUGCACGAAUGGCGUAAUGAUGGCCAGGCUGUCUCCACCCGAGACUCAGUGAAAUUGAACUCGCUGUGAAGAUGCAGUGUACCCGCGGCAAGACGGAAAGACCCCGUGAACCUUUACUAUAGCUUGACACUGAACAUUGAGCCUUGAUGUGUAGGAUAGGUGGGAGGCUUUGAAGCGUGGACGCCAGUCUGCGUGGAGCCAACCUUGAAAUACCACCCUUUAAUGUUUGAUGUUCUAACGUUGGCCCCUUACCGGGGUUGCGGACAGUGUCUGGUGGGUAGUUUGACUGGGGCGGUCUCCUCCCAAAGCGUAACGGAGGAGCACGAAGGUUAGCUAAUCCUGGUCGGACAUCAGGAGGUUAGUGCAAUGGCAUAAGCUAGCUUGACUGCGAGCGUGACGGCGCGAGCAGGUGCGAAAGCAGGUCAUAGUGAUCCGGUGGUUCUGAAUGGAAGGGCCAUCGCUCAACGGAUAAAAGGUACUCCGGGGAUAACAGGCUGAUACCGCCCAAGAGUUCAUAUCGACGGCGGUGUUUGGCACCUCGAUGUCGGCUCAUCACAUCCUGGGGCUGAAGUAGGUCCCAAGGGUAUGGCUGUUCGCCAUUUAAAGUGGUACGCGAGCUGGGUUUAGAACGUCGUGAGACAGUUCGGUCCCUAUCUGCCGUGGGCGCUGGAGAAUUGAGGGGGGCUGCUCCUAGUACGAGAGGACCGGAGUGGACGCAUCACUGGUGUUCGGGUUGUCAUGCCAAUGGCACUGCCCGGUAGCUAAAUGCGGAAGAGAUAAGUGCUGAAAGCAUCUAAGCACGAAACUUGCCCCGAGAUGAGUUCUCCCUGAGACUUUAAGUCUCCUGAAGGAACGUUAAAGACGAUGACGUUGAUAGGCCGGGUGUGUAAGCGCAGCGAUGCGUUGAGCUAACCGGUACUAAUGAACCGUGAGGCUUAACC
rnacentral:rRNA from 1 species